CGGCAGCGGCGACACGGCGGCGGAAGCACCAUGGUUGUUCUGUUCGGACGGAAAAGAGGAAAAGAGGAAAAGAGGUCAGAUUUGGUUAGAAAAAAAAGAAAAGAGGAGAAAGGAGGAAGUUUUGGAGCCUACCUUUCCGGCGAGGCAAAGCUCGGCCUCCACCGCGAUUUCAGCCACGACGGACGACGGCGGAGGCGGCAGUGACACGCGAAGGCGGCGGCGUGCGGCUGACUUCCGGCGAGGAAGAGUGAGAGAGGUGAAGAAAGAACAGAGAGACGAGAGGGAGAGAAGAGGUGACCGAGGGAGUGAGGGGGAGAGCGGAGAGUCCGACGAGGCGGCGCGCCGGAGGCGGCGCCGCACUCGACCGAACAGAGCAGAGAGAGAGAGAGAGCCGGGAGAGAGCCGAGAGAUAGAGAGAGAAUGAGGCUUGUGUGUGUUACUGUUGGCAGUUCAAUUUAUA
rnacentral:lncRNA from 1 species